AUUGCUCUUCAAUCUUCAUCUUCUUCCCCUUUCCAACCAUGAGACGUAAUCACGAUGGCUGCGGCGGCUAGAGGCGGCGAGCGGCGGUGAGAGAACAACAAAUGAAAGAGGACCACCACUUUUCAAGUUUGCAGUUCAUCACUUUUUUUUCUCUUUGGUUCAACAUCUGCAUUUUGUUAUGGUCAAUUAAUGCUUUAAUGGUGUUUCGUACUGUUCUAUAGCAAGAUUUUGAUUAUGUCAAUUUUUUUUGUUGUUCUUCUAUUAUUGAGUUGUUAUGGAAAACAAUCCUAAUAUCUAGGUAUUGAACUUAUUAAUCCACCGAAAAACAGAAUAUCAAUUUUGUUCCUUUGUUCUUGUCAGGUUUGCAAUUCAUCAUUUUUUUACUAUUUGGUUCAACCUCUGCAUUUUGUUCCUUUGUUCUUGUUAAUUUGAUUCCUCAAUGCCUCUAUUAUACUAUUAAAAAUAGAAAUUAGCAAAAUAUUUGAUGAUGAUCGAAAAUCUUGUCAAAGUGCAUGUUUCUUAUUAUCUAUCCUAGCAUAUCUGCAACAUCUUGUUUGUUACUAACUGUAAUAUCCUUUUUUUUAGUCUUACACUAGUAAUUGUUAUUUACUUCAAAGUUAAUGGAAUAGAUCAGAUGAUCCAUAUCUCAAUUGGCCUCACUAGGAGUUUAGAAAUUGAAUCCUUCCAAGUAUAGCCUUGACUAGCUAUAAGAUAUCUAUUACAUGUCAUGAAUGUGACAACUCCAAGCAAGGACUUCCUAGAACUUAUGAGAGAGUUGCUUGAACUCUUAAUAAAGGCCAGAAGUCGGAGGAGUUUGACCAGGCAAGAGAUAUAUUGAAAAUAGCACAACCAUCAUUACUGUUUGCUGCAAAAAGCCUAGAUGAUGACGAAUGGUAUGCAAGAAAGAUUGCAGAAGAACUCAAAAAAAGUUAUGUGAAGUUGAAGAAUGUGAGAGUGGAAAGAGGUUCGAAGAGG